ACGGCUCAGUAACACGUGGAUAACCUGCCCUGCGGUGGGAAAUAACCCCGGGAAACUGGGGAUAAUGUCCCAUAGACUACGGAUACUGGAAUGUUCUGUAGUUCAAAGAUUUAUCGCCACAGGAUGGGUCUGCGGCCGAUUAGGUAGUUGUUGGGGUAACGGCCCAACAAGCCUUUGAUCGGUACGGGUUGUGGGAGCAAGAGCCCGGAGAUGGAUUCUGAGACACGAAUCCAGGCCCUACGGGGCGCAGCAGGCGCGAAAACUUUACAAUGCGGGAAACCGUGAUAAGGGAACUCCGAGUGUCCGUAAAUGCGGACUGUCCGUAUGUUUAAAAAGCAUGCGAAGAAAGGGCCGGGCAAGACCGGUGCCAGCCGCCGCGGUAAUACCGGCGGCUCGAGUGGUGGCCACUAUUACUGGGCUUAAAGCGUUCGUAGCUGGGUUGUUAAGUCUCUUGGGAAAUCUAUCGGCUUAACCGAUAGGCGUCCAAGGGAUACUGGCAAUCUAGGGACCGGGAGAGGUGAGGGGUACUUCAGGGGUAGGAGUGAAAUCCUGUAAUCCUUGGGGGACCACCUGUGGCGUAGGCGCCUCACCAGAACGGCUCCGACAGUGAGGGGCGAAAGCUGGGGGAGCAAACCGGAUUAGAUACCCGGGUAGUCCCAGCCGUAAACGAUGCGCGUUAGGUGUAUCGAUGACCACGAGUCAUCGAGGUGCCGAAGGGAAACCGUGAAACGCGCCGCCUGGGAAGUACGGUCGCAAGGCUGAAACUUAAAGGAAUUGGCGGGGGAGCAC
rnacentral:rRNA from 1 species